CAGUUAGAUAUUAACUUAAUAAGGUCACUCUUCCCUACAGUAGACUUGCUAGAGUGACAAAGAAGUUAUGUAUGGCUUAUGAACCAGUAGAGUCUCUGAUAUAAUGAGGAUAAUGAGGCACAAGAAGCACUCACAGACAACAGAGCUGGCAUGGCAGAGAAGUUUUUGUUUAACACAGCUUGAAAACAUAAGGAUUUUACAUUUCAUUUUCAGGGGAAGAAUGCACAGCAUACGUAUGCACAUACACUGUUGAGGGGAAGUUUUAGCUGUACCAUGUGACAAGAGAGAUGUUUUCAACCAAGUUGUGGCACCAGCAUUUACUCCACCUUGUUGAAGUCCAUCUUAUAUGAAAGCCUUCAAUUCUCAUGUUGUCUGUCGCAAUACGACACGAAAAGACGAUACGGACACUGCUGCUCUCCAGUUUAAGAUUCCAGUGAUCCUCAAAUGUCAACCCUCAGCCUCCAGUGUAUGCACUCUUCGCUGAUGUUUUCUGAUCGAGGAGAGAGCGCACAGACCCUCCACAGCAGCAGAGGGAUGAAGGGCACAGCAAAUUGCAGAAUCAGGAAUGACUCUUGCCGGGUCUCAGGAGAGCGCCGUUGUGCCGCAGCACCUUUCUCGGCUUGCGUCACUAGAACAUCAUAGUCUGGAACCGGUUUUCCAUCUUGCGGUUCACCCAUUUUAUUUCCCCUGCCCGCCCUGAAUUCUCAACAAGGAGAUUUUUUUUUUCCCUUUCUUAACUGUGGGGCUUAAGGGAUCACAAUGUUGCAGUUAUUUGUGGCUUGGCUUUCACUCUCUAUUUCUCUCGUCUUACAAUGCUGCUCUCCCACCAGUUCAAACUUCUAAGGUGGUUAGUUCUCUCAAGUCAUAGAGCCAAGAAAAAAAAAUUCUUUCUACUUCUUUCUGUUCUCAUCUAAAGCUAUUGCAAGUGAAGUGUCAUGGUACCAUCUGGCAGUUAGGGAGAUGCCACUGUAUUCUAAUUACGUUUGUUGUGUGCAUGCACACUCAAAAAAAUUGAAGGGACAUGGCCCUUUCUGCCUUGCUCCAGCUUUUGCACUAAGGCUGCUAAUGCAUAAAGCUUUAGUUACUGACAUUUGUUAUACCCACUGAAUUCAGACUUUUGUCAGCUGCAUUAUUUGUAUGGGAAAUUCUCCAUGAAAGAAGAUACUAGGGAGGGAAAUUUAAAAAGGAAGGUUUUUUUUUUUAAAGUGUAUUCAUUUUUACAUACCAUUGUUAUUAUAUUUGGAUUACGCUUUUGUAUUUCAGCAUUUUAACAAGACCCUAUUUAAAGACAUUAACUAACUACUAAGACAGAGGCAAUCACUAUGUAAGGGAUACUCACCUAUCCUAUAUUUGGAAUAAAUAUUUCUCAUGAUAGAAUACCUUCCAUAAAGAUAAAUAAAGAUGGUGAAAUUUUCACACAUGCCUUUUACUUGACAAAUGGAUAGGUUUUAAUUUAAAAAUGUAGUGAAAUCCCUUUAAUAGAAAACUAAACCUGAUGCUUCUGAAAAGUCAAGACACCUAAGUUCACACAGUUCCUGGAGAUGAUACUGCUGGGACUGAUCCAGCCUCAGUUGUUUUGGCAGAUUUUCAGUCUGAUUAAAAAUGCUUAUGUGCAAACAGCAUUAGGUGAACAUCAAGCCCGUGAAAGGCGAAAGGAAACACCAGCUUCUGUAAUACAAAGCAUAUGUAAAAGAGUUUUCAAUGUAAUGAUAAAUAACUAACAGUGGAAUUGCUUUUGUGCAGCUUGAAAGCCUAAAUAGAACCAGCAUACAACUGUGUAUUGCUCCAUGAGUUUUUCUAGCUUCCUUAUGCAAUUUUACUUUCCUCAACCAAUAACACCAAUGUGGCAACACAGACACACUACUUUAGGGUGAUGGAUGAAACACUAGUUUGUUACUUUUAAAUAUUAAAAGCUGCACAUUUUAUGGUGGAUUAUAGCCCUGUUUUAACAGCGCAAAUGUUCUCCACAUUUAUCUAAAGCACACAGUCUGCUCAGAGGCACAAUAAGGAAUUCAAAUUAGGGCCUUUAGAAUGCCACCCUCAAAGUGGACUCUAAAGUAGGCUUUACCUUUGGAAGCCCAUGCAGUCAUAUAGUUCAUUUACAGCAAUAAAUCUCUUGCAGCCAGUCACGUUUCUCCCUUGGCUUCCAUGAAGGCUGGAUCACAUCCUUAAAGAUAAUCAGUUACAGAAACUGUAGUCUAUAAUUUUGAAUAAUAAUAAUGAGUGCAGCAAGGAUAGCCCUACAGAUGCAGCUACUCAGCCAGUCAGAAAGACCCUGUUCCUUCACAAGGAGGAAAAACACAUGGACAUCUCCUUGAUGAAUUAUGGGACAUUGUUGACAUUUCUCUCAGGAACAAAAUGCAGAGGGCACAGUGACUGCUACACCACAAGAAAAUAUGAAAAUAGUGAUUAGCUCAUCAUCAAAGCUUGUAAGGUUUGGCUUCUAAUGCUUGUAGUCUUUCCAAGGUUUUUUAAGCACCUUAUUCCAUUUUCUCUCUAAGGCACCAAAUGGUAUCUAGAAGAGGUUGACAAUUUUUUCAGUCCAAUGAUUUUUUUUUUCCUGAAUUCAGAUGAGCUGUGAAUUAUAACACAUUUAAGGACAAAAUACAAGAAGACAGCUACCCAUUGCAAAUGAAUAUACAUAAAGGAACAAUGUUUUUCAUGUUACAAAUUGUAUUCCUUGUUUAUAACCAAGUCUGUCAAGAUCAGAGAAUAAUACACAUUCUUGCAGGACACAAAAAUUUUCCAGGGACCUACAUUGUGAAACACAUGUGUUUUUUCAUAAAAUUAUACUGGCUUCACAAAAAGUUUGAGAAUCAAUGAUUUCUGUUGUGGCAUUGAUGUUUUUAAAUAGCAGGCUAAAUCUGGUAUUUUGUGUUUCUAUUUGAACUUUCUCAUACUUGCAAUAGGUGCUGAUGUUGGCAUACAGGAAUAAAAAAUCUUUUCUUCCAGUACUGAAGAUAUUUUAUACCUUUGACAAGCACCUUUCCACCACCACUAAACUUAUUUGAGAAAUGGCCGUUUGAUAUUUCCAGUUACCAAGCAAAAUAUACUUCAUGGAAAUAGUUUACUAAGAAUUUGUCAAAAUGUAGACCUGAACUGAAACUGAUAAUGGGAAGGCCCUAUUAAUUAUCCAGCAACCUUUCCCACUGCCAUGUAGUACCACUCUCACUACACUACACUUUCUUAAAUAUUAUCACUGGCUUAUGCCAGACUAAAAUGUUUAUGAAUUUAUUGUACCCAAUUGCUUUUUUGAGAAAUAUUUUUGGACUUGGUACAGACUUAUUAUAGCUGUGAAUUUUACUUGCUCUAAAAAGGCUCUACAUGUAUGACAGCAGAACAGCACUGGAACAGAUAACAGAGCAGCACUAGCACAGGUAAAGAAGUUGUGGAAUCUGCAUCCUUUCAGACUUGGCUAGACAAAGCCUUUGCUGACCUAAUGUUGAUAGUCUUCCUUGGAGCACAAAGUGUGACUAGAAACUUACAGAGUUUCAACCACAUUUCUAUGACUUGUGACCUGAGGUACUGAAACAAACCUGGUAAGCACUUAAUUAAAUAAGUCUCUCACUGUCUGCAGAGACAGACAGUCCUGGCAUUACCUCUCAAAUCUACUUUAUCCUUAUAAUGCAGAUUUUCAAAAUACUCCAUAGAUAGUAAAAGGGAAAGUCCCUUACAAGAGUUAUACAAAACUGAGUUUUACUUUGAAUUACAUUUUCUUUUCCUCACAUUUAUGUUCUCAAUAACUUGAUUUUAACUGUACCAAAUACAUAGUUAUCAGAUUGGCUCCUUCUUGUGGAAGCCCACCCUAAGAAUGGGCUUUAGGAAAAAAGGAUACCACACAUGUUUUUGCAAGAGGCUUGCAGACUAUAACUGCAGUGGGGAAAUGACUAACCCACCUGCAUAAGGAGUGCUGGGGACAUGGUCAUGCAGGAGGCAGUCCAACUCCAGACAGACCUCAGAACAUGCUGAGAGUAAGAGGGAUGCUUGAAGAAGACAUAAAGAAUGGGUCACUAAUAGAACAGCAUGCAUAAAGGCAGACCUGCUGUAAGAUAUGAUACUUAUAGAAUAUACCACUGUAACAGAUAUCUUUUCACUCUGUAAUCGAGAAAGUAUUAGAUUAUUUCUAACUUAAAAUGAAAGUGACGAUUAUGGUCAUGAGAUAGGAAAGUGAGGGUUACUGAAGAUUUCCUAAUGUCCAGGGGAUUUCCUGAAGGAGUCUUUUCCAGGCUGCAUGGAGUCCUGUGCAUCCAGAAACAGCAGCAAUUGAUUUCUUGGCCAAUGCACAAGCUUUGCCCAGGUGGCAAGGUUAUAAUGCAUUCCCAAAAAGGCUAAUGGAAUGAUGUUCAUUUACAAACAUGAGCUUCUAAGUCUCAGCCUUAGAGCCCUAAGGCUUCAGCUAACAGCUUAGAGCUCAGGGCUUAGAUUUUCAUCUAGAUCAUUUUAAUAACACAGGAAUAACUUAAAGCACCUGAGCAGUCCCAGUGCAAGCAAGCACGGAGACAUCUGCCUGGACUGACUCACACAAGAGCUAACAACCGAAACUCUGAGUAAGGAUUGAAAUAAGACCCUUAACAGUACUCCUUAACAGUUUUCAAAAUAUCACCUCACCACACCUUUUAAGAGCUUUUUUUGAAUAAAUAUCUGACAAAGUUCAUUCUAAGCAUUUUCUAUGCAUGCUAUUUUUUCACAGUAUGCUAAGCAAGAUUACUGACACCGCAUUUGUUUAAAACAAGGUAGUUAUCUAUGCAUUUGAUUAAAAAAUAUUAAAUUAUACAUCUCUUCACUUUUACCUUGUGGCUGCACAACUCUGAAAAGUUGAUCCACCUCACAGUUUCUUGCCUCCAGAUGCACCGGUUCUUCUAUUAUAAUAAACAAGUGGGCUAUACCCGCUGUACAAUUUGUUGAUGUCAUGUGCAGAAAAUUUACACUGCACAUUUUGCAAAGUUCUGUCAAAAAGAUUUAGAAAAACUCUUCACAAACACUAGAAUAAUAUCCCUGAAUAAUAUUUCAGAACAGUGACUUUCUAAUCAAAAUCCACCGUUAAGAAAAAAGAGCUGCCACAUUACAGGAGCUGAUAUUAUUUCAGCUGAUACUGGUUUUUGUCUUCUCUAAGUUUAGAAUGCUUAUAUCACCUUUUAAAAAAUAAAUCAUACAAACCAGUUGAUUGAGAUAAUACCAAUUCCCAGCAGCUCCAAGUUAGUAACUGUAAUGUUACUCUCAUUUUGACUACAUGGGUUUACAUUUUUGUACGCAUGAACUGCUAAGCAGCAAAAUACAUAUACUGAAAUUUGUGGUAAAAUCUGCAAUGAAGUGUCACUGUAUGUGAGAGAAAUAUUUGAUUACAGAAGAAACAAAUUAUUUGGAGUAUCAGGAAAAAAACCCAACAGAACCAAUUGACACUUUCACCAAAAAAAAACCAAAAACAAACCAGAAACGCCUCAAUAAGCCCUGAUUAUGUGACUAGGCCAUCCUGGAUGGGGCUUUGAGUAACCUGGUCUAGUGGAAGAUUCCCCGUCAACAGCAGGGAGCUGGAACUAGAUGAUCUUUAAGGUUCCUUUCUAUCCAAACUGUUCUGUGAUUCUAUGACUAACAGUUCUAAUGACUAUUUUUCUGGUAAUUUUAAGAAAUAUAGUAAAAACUGCUUGUUAACAAAAAUCAACAACCUUCCUGUCCAACUAAAAAACUCAUUUAGCA